AACGAACGCUGGCGGCAUGCCUAACACAUGCAAGUCAAACGAGACCUUCGGGUCUAGUGGCGCACGGGUGCGUAACGCGUGGGAACCUGCCCUUAGGUUCGGAAUAACUCCCCGAAAGGGGUGCUAAUACCGGAUAAUGUCUUCGGACCAAAGAUUUAUCGCCUUUGGAUGGGCCCGCGUUGGAUUAGCUAGUUGGUAGGGUAAAAGCCUACCAAGGCGACGAUCCAUAGCUGGUCUGAGAGGAUGAUCAGCCACACUGGGACUGAGACACGGCCCAGACUCCUACGGGAGGCAGCAGUGGGGAAUAUUGGACAAUGGGCGAAAGCCUGAUCCAGCAAUGCCGCGUGAGUGGUGAAGGCCUUAGGGUUGUAAAGCUCUUUUACCCGGGAUGAUAAUGACAGUACCGGGAGAAUAAGCUCCGGCUAACUCCGUG
rnacentral:rRNA from 1 species